rnacentral:rRNA from 1 species
GAUGAACGCUGGCGGCGUGCCUAAUACAUGCAAGUCGAGCGAACAGACGAGGAGCUUGCUCCUUCGACGUUAGCGGCGGACGGGUGAGUAACACGUAGGUAACCUACCUAUAAGACUGGGAUAACUUCGGGAAACCGGAGCUAAUACCGGAUAAUAUUUCGAACCGCAUGGUUCGAUAGUGAAAGAUGGCUUUGCUAUCACUUAUAGAUGGACCUGCGCCGUAUUAGCUAGUUGUUAAGGUAACGGCUUACCAAGGCAACGAUACGUAGCCGACCUGAGAGGGUGAUCGGCCACACUGGAACUGAGACACGGUCCAGACUCCUACGGGAGGCAGCAGUAGGGAAUCUUCCGCAAUGGGCGAAAGCCUGACGGAGCAACGCCGCGUGAGUGAUGAAGGUCUUCGGAUCGUAAAACUCUGUUAUUAGGGAAGAACAAACGUGUAAGUAACUGUGCACGUCUUGACGGUACCUAAUCAGAAAGCCACGGCUAACUACGUG